AUUGAACGCUGGCGGCAUGCUUUACACAUGCAAGUCGAACGGUAACAGGCCUUCGGGUGCUGACGAGUGGCGAACGGGUGAGUAAUGCAUCGGAACGUGCCCAGAGGUGGGGGAUAACGCAGCGAAAGCUGUGCUAAUACCGCAUAUUAUCUGAGGAUGAAAGCGGGGGACUAAGCAGCAAUGUUUGGCCUCGCGCCUUUGGAGCGGCCGAUGUCAGAUUAGGUAGUUGGUGGGGUAAAGGCCUACCAAGCCGACGAUCUGUAGCUGGUCUGAGAGGACGACCAGCCACACUGGGACUGAGACACGGCCCAGACUCCUACGGGAGGCAGCAGUGGGAAUUUUGGACAAUGGACGCAAGUCUGAUCCAGCAAUGCCGCGUGCAGGACGAAGGCCUUCGGGUUGUAAACUGCUUUGUACAGAACGAAAAGGACGUCUGGUUAAGUACCUGGGCGUCAUGACGGUACUGUAAGAAUAAGCACC
rnacentral:rRNA from 1 species